rnacentral:rRNA from 1 species
GUAGGGAAUAUUAGAAAUGGACGAAAGUCUGAUCUAGCAACACCGCGUGUGCGAAGAAGGCCUUCGGGUCGUAAAGCACUUUUUGGAAGGAAUAGGAAGGAAUGUACUUCCAGAAUAAGUCUCGGCUAACUACGUGCCAGCAGCCGCGGUAACACGUAGGAGGCAAACGUUAUCCGGAUUUACUGGGCGUAAAGCGCGUGUAGGUGGUACUGUAAGUAGGGCGUGAAAGCUCCUGGCUCAACUGGGAGAGGCCGUUCUAAACUACAGAACUAGAGGAUGGUAGAGGGAGGUGGAAUUCCAGGUGUAGCGGUGGAAUGCGCAGAUAUCUGGAGGAACACCGGUGGCGAAGGCGGCCUCCUGGACCAUUCCUGACACUCAGACGCGAAAGCUAGGGUAGCAAACGGGAUUAGAAACCCUAGUAGUCC